UGAACUAAUUAAACGGGUUCUUAUAAGAAUACAGACGGAUUUUAAGUAGCACAGGCUCUCCGACUGACUGGAAAGCAAGUCAGCAGCAUGUUGUGAGAUUCCUCUUCAAGCAAGGGUCACAUGAGUAGGAACUGAGAGUGGUCUAGCCACUGAGAGCGACCCCAAGCACCAGCCCCAAGAAAUGGGGACUUGGAUCCUACAACCACAGCACUAAGCUCUGCCAGCAACUUAGAUGGGAGGCCUGAGGUCCACAUGAGAACACAGCCCCAGCCAACACCUCACUUUCAGCUUUGCAAGGCCCUGAACUGUGAACCUGGUUAUGCCACACCAAAACUUCUGACCUGCAGAAACUGUUGCACAGAACAUUUAAUAUCAUCGCAGCACUGCUUAUAAUAGCCAGGACAUGGAAGCAACCUAGAUGUCCAUCAGCAGAUGAAUGGAUAAGAAAGGACAUGAAGACCGAAGACACCAUAGUUCGAUGGCUCACACUUCACACUCACUAUGUAUUUAGAAACAUUGAAGUCAUCUCCCGAUCAUCUUCACCAAGAGCAUCAACAUCAAGUGAAAUGGGCUUGAUACAUUCAGUGCUAAUUUGAAAGCUGUGUCAAAAGCAAAUUUUGCUGAAAUGGAAAUACUAAUAAAACUGGGGGCUCAGAAGGAGUCCAUUAUCCUCCUCA